AACCUAACCCAAUAUAGUCUUUCAGCUUGAGGUAUGGUUUAAAACCAGAAAAACGUAUUAAAGCCCAUAUAGGCUUUAGCUCAUCGUUUUUCUGGUGCAUGUGGGAAACUGCAUGUGGUAGCCGCAAGGCUAUC
rnacentral:sRNA from 12 species